AGGGUUUGAUCAUGGCUCAGGACGAACGCUGGCGGCGUGCCUAACACAUGCAAGUCGAACGAAGCUCCUUGAUGUAAGACUUCGGUCAAGCGGAAGGGAUGACUUAGUGGCGGACGGGUGAGUAACGCGUGAGGAACCUGCCUUUCAGUGGGGGACAACAGUUGGAAACGACUGCUAAUACCGCAUAAUGUUUUCGGAUCGCAUGGUCUGGAAACCAAAGCUUUAUGUGCUGAAAGAUGGCCUCGCGUCUGAUUAGAUAGUUGGUGGGGUAACGGCCCACCAAGUCGACGAUCAGUAGCCGGACUGAGAGGUUGAACGGCCACAUUGGGACUGAGAUACGGCCCAG
rnacentral:rRNA from 1 species